ACUGGUCAAUCCGUGGCGAAAUUAAAUUUUUUUAUUUCAAUCGCUGUUGUUGUUGUUGUUGGGAAUAUAAUUUUUUCCUUAAUUCUGCUCCAAAGCGAGCGACUAUAAUUAUAAUUCUAUUAAGGCACCUUUACAACAUCACCAUAACUGUUUGUAUAUAUAUGUAUGUUUGUGUUUGUAUGUGUGUUAAUGCCUCGAAAAGUAGUCGAAGUUCAAAGUUCGCUGAUCUUUCUGCUCCUCUGCUCCUACGGUUGUCAAUUUGUUAUGCCUUAAGUCAAGUUAUUGUUGUUGUUGCAUUUUUAUAUUUUAAUUUCAGAAUUGUGCUGCGAUUAACUGCAUUAACGGUUAUUAAAGUCUGCUGCACAUAUGUAUAUGUAAGUUUAUAUGUUCGUAUGUAUGUGUUUGGGUUGUAGGAAACGCUUGCUAUUAAUUAAUAAGACGAAUGUGGAACUUGGCUUCAUAAUUAAUAUUCGCUGUGUUUGUAAUCAGAUUAAAGCUGCCGACUGAUUGCAGGGAAAUGACAGUCUGUUAAGUGGCUUAAUAAGCAGAAGUAAGCUCAGUAACUUAUUAUCACAUUGGAAGGCGUGAAGUAGCUGAAUUGCUAGCUAGAAUUUGGAGAUCCAAGAAGUAUUAUAUUUUAUUUCCUAAUUGGAAUUUGGCAUAAUUUCAUCGGUAAAUAGUUUCAAGUUUUAUACUACGAAUUGCAGUUGUCCCUAUCUCACAAAAAACCGAUGUCUCUUUUUACCGUAUUGUACUAAGUACUUCUACUACAACUACAUGUAUAUCGAAUGUACAUAAAAAAGGAAAAUUUCGCCAAAACGGCUGGACCGAUCGACUAGAAGCGUAUCAUACGACUUUUAUUUUAAGCCCUCUUAUACUACCAACCUAGGUGUAUGUUUUUUUAGUCUUUGUCACUAAAUUGUACUUGAUGUUUUUUGGAUCAAAUUUCAUUCAUUCAAAAAUUGUUCUUAUUUAACAUCUCGUUACAUAUGUAUGGUUAGUAGCCUUGGCAGUGAUCAGCAGAUCAAAUUUGGCACUCCUAUCAAUAAGCUAGAUGCCAAAGAGGUUAACUUGGCCUACGCCGGCGCUUUUUCUUUUGAGAACGAUUAAAGUACCGAGGAUUAUUUAUAUUGAAAAUGUUUAGCAAUUAAUUAUAUAGAACAAAUUAUCAAGCGUCGAAAAGUAGGCAACUAUUAAUCACGCAAAGCAUACAUUUAAGCGCACAGCAUAUCAUUAUGUUGAUAAGCUUUAGCUCUACGCUCAGUAUAUUGAAUACAUGUAUAUUAAUUUAUAAAAAAAAGCACAAUUUAACAGCACUAAGUAUAGUAUCAAUAAAUGUGUGGUAGGCGAUUAUAGUUAAUAGUUUAAUGUUCCGUUUCCUUCUUAGUAGAAUUUACAUAAGCGGAACAGAUUACGCCAAACAAACAAGAGUAGCAUUCCUCAAUAUGAGUAUAUUGUAGAAAAAUCUGUGCCGCUCCAGUAGCGUCAACCAAUUUUUUGGUCUCUCUAUAAUGAUAGCAAUGGGUUCCAUUGCCGAACCAAAAAUGUUCAUCGACGCAAGUAUAAAUUUAUCACAUAUCAAGUAGAGCUCUCAAAAUUAUUCGAAUGGCUACAGUAAUCGCAUACCACAGGCCAAUUAUCCGUUGAAUGUUAAUAUCUAUUAAAAAGUUUGUUAUAUUAACAUUUAGUCGUAGUUUGUUGAUUAUGAUUGCCGAAUCUACAAUCGAUUCGUCAAUGCUUGAACUGUACCGAAUCGAACAGACAGCUAAAUAAUAAAAACUGGUAUAAAUCUUCUAUAAAAGCUUUAUCAAAGAAUAUAGUAUGGAAUGCGAUUAUACUACCUUAACUUUGUUAUUACUUUCUUUCGUGAAUUAUUUUACAAGAGAGCAGUGCGGAUAAACCGAAAGUAAUGACGAAUUGAAGGCUGCUAGUGUUGAGUUCGGAAUAUGUUUUUCAUCAAAUAAUAUACUUAUAGGAAUUUGGAAGCAUAUUUUUUUUCCAAUUGAACAUUCUUUGGCCACUCACUUACAACAAAAACUGGCUUAGUAUUUAUAUAUAUAUAUAUAUAUAUAUAUAGUUCUUUACAUUUUCAAGUUAUCUCUUUAAGUGUUGUUAUUUUUUCAUUCUCCAAAAUAUAAUAGAUUCGCAUAUCACCAAUAUUUUCUUACUGCAAACUAUGAUCUAAUGAGUUUCAAUGUUACUGAAAUAUUUUUUUAACAAAAUUCCAUAUUGUUUCCCGUUUCAACUUCCUGCUAAUGCGGUCAUCAAAAUAGCAUAAUAGCAAAAUAGUACCAUAUUUAUCAAUAUAAGUUUACAAUAUGCAGUGUCGGUAGAACACUUCCGCAUAAGCUUGGGUGGACCAUAUGAUUUGAGGAUUUGUCGAUAAAUUUCGAAGCUCUAGAAUGUUAUGAAAUACAAGCGCUGAGUCUGGCACCGCGUGCUGCUCUCUUCCCCUGUCGCACCGCUCGCAAGACUUUCGGCCAGUUUACCUCCACGACGUAUAGAAUUGCAUGAUGAAAUUCUCAAGUACAGCUGAUUUUUUUUUGUUAUUUUUUUAUUAUUCAAUUUAUUUAUCUGAAUAAUUUCGCUUUUGUUAUUUGUGUAAUAAAUCUCUAUUUGAAACUGCAACUGCUGCUGUCGUUGUUGUUGCACACAUGAAAUUAUUGCUAUUUGUUAUUUAUUAAGGAAAUUUGAGGAAAUGCCACGCCAUGCCACACAUACAAUUUCGUUGCGAUUUUAUUUAUUCUGCUGAGCGCUAUUCAUUUCAUAUUUAUUUUCAUUGGCAUAACCAGUUUUUUGUUGUUGUUUUUUUAAAUGUAUUUUUUUUUCGAUUUUUUGCUUCUUUCUUUGAUUAGUAAUUUAUUUUCUAUAUUUUUUACGCCAUUUUCAAUAGUCAAACCAAAUUUGUGCGAAUAUUUGUGUGUAUGUAUGUGUCUAUGUGUGCGUGUGUUUAUUUAUGGCGAAUAUUUAAAAAGCAGCAGCUAAAAGCAGCAAAUAUGUUAAUAGAAAAAUAGGAAUAAUGCAAAAACAACAACAAACAUAAGUAAGUCUGGCAAUUUCCAUACCACAAAAUACGCAGCUGCAUUCAAGGCAAAGCGACGGGGCAGCGGUAUAGCGCGUUCGGCUUUUGGUGUUUGACGUUCGGCGGUGGUUUUGGGGUGGCGGCACGUUGCAUUUCAGUUGGCGCAUUCAAGGUGAGGUCCAAGUUGAUGAUUUUUUAUUUCGUUUGUUUGCGUUUUAGUUGUUGCGCUGUUGUUGCUGCUGAAUUUGAUACUUCAUUGUUCGGCACUUGCUGUUGUUGUUUGUAUAUCAUUGUGGUUGUUGUUUGCUGUUUGUGUUGCCCGCUUUUAACGUCAACCAGUUACAAUUGGCUUAUUCUUAGCAUUACUCAAAUGUGUGAGUAGGAGUGUGUAUAUCAAAAACAACAAUGCCAAAUACAACAACAAUGUAGCGUAACAAAAAAGUGAGUAAAGCAUUGGCCACCAAAUAUGUCGUUUGUAUUGUUGUCGAAAAAUGAAACUAAAAAAUAAAUUACGCCUACAACAAUAGCAAAUAUUACUACCCGCAACUAUCCACCAUUUCCACCACCAACACUAAUACCAACAAAAACUGCUAAUUGUAGUCACAAAUUUGUGUUCGUCACAGUCGCUGCGCUGCCAUUGGACGUUAUUUUCGUCAUUUGCCUUCGGUUAUUUGCUUUGUUGUAGUUAUUGUUGCUGUUGUUUUUGUUAGCUACGAUUUUACUUAUUCUCGGUUGCCUAUUUGGGUGGUUGGC